rnacentral:rRNA from 1 species
UACGUAGGGGGCAAGCGUUGUCCGGAUUUACUGGGCGUAAAGGGCGCGUAGGCGGUCAGCACAAGUCAGUUGUGAAAUCUCCGGGCUUAACUCGGAAAGGUCAACUGAUACUGUGCGACUAGAGUGCAGAAGGGGCAACUGGAAUUCUCGGUGUAGCGGUGAAAUGCGCAGAUAUCGGGAGGAACACCGGUGGCGAAGGCGGUUCUCUGGGCCUGACCUGACGCUGAGGAGCGAAAGCGUGGGGAGCGAACAGG